CGAACGGGUGAGUAACGCGUGAGCAACCUGCCUAUGACAGUGGGAUAGCCUCGGGAAACCGGGAUUAAUACCGCAUAAAAUCGUAGAAACACAUGUUUUAACGGUCAAAGAUUUAUCGGUCAUAGAUGGGCUCGCGUCUGAUUAGCUAGUUGGUGAGACAACAGCCCACCAAGGCGACGAUCAGUAGCCGGUCUGAGAGGAUGAACGGCCACAUUGGAACUGAGACACGGUCCAA
rnacentral:rRNA from 1 species